rnacentral:rRNA from 1 species
GGUUAAGCGACUAAGCGUACACGGUGGAUGCCCUGGCAGUCAGAGGCGAUGAAGGACGUGCUAAUCUGCGAAAAGCGUCGGUAAGGUGAUAUGAACCGUUACAGCCGGCGAUGUCCGAAUGGGGAAACCCAGUGCAAUUCGUUGCACUAUCGUUGCACUAUCGUUGCGAACGGGAGCAGCCCGGAGUGAAAUCAGCUUGUGUGUUAGUGGAAGCGUCUGGAAAGUCGCAGGGUACAGGGUGAUACUCCCCGUACACUAAAACGCACAGGUUGUGAACUCGAAGAGUAGGGCGGGACACGUGGUAUCCUGUCUGAAUAUGGGGGGACCAUCCUCCAAGGCUAAAUACUCCUGACUGACCGAUAGUGAACCAGUACCGUGAGGGAAAGGCGAAAAGAACCCCGGCGAGGGGAGUGAAAAAGAACCUGAAACCGUGUACGUACAAGCAGUAGGAGCCCACUUGUUGGGUGACUGCGUACCUUUUGUAUAAUGGGUCAGCGACUUAUAUUCUGUAGCAAGGUUAACCGUAUAGGGGAGCCGCAGGGAAACCGAGUCUUAACUGGGCGUUAAGUUGCAGGGUAUAGACCCGAAACCCGGUGAUCUAGCCAUGGGCAGGUUGAAGGUUGGGUAACACUAACUGGAGGACCGAGCUAAACCAUGCACCGAAGCUGCGGCAGCGACACUAUGUGUUGUUGGGUAGGGGAGCGUUCUGUAAGCCGUUGAAGGUGGCCUGUGAGGGUUGCUGGAGGUAUCAGAAGUGCGAAUGCUGACAUAAGUAACGAUAAUGCGGGUGAAAAACCCGCACGCCGGAAGACCAAGGGUUCCUGUCCAACGUUAAUCGGGGCAGGGUGAGUCGACCCCUAAGGCGAGGCCGAAAGGCGUAGUCGAUGGGAAACAGGUUAAUAUUCCUGUACUUGGUGUUACUGCGAAGGGGGGACGGAGAAGGCUAUGUUGGCCGGGCGACGGUUGUCCCGGUUUAAGCGUGUAGGUGUGUGUUCCAGGUAAAUCCGGUUCACUUUAACACUGAGGCGUGAUGACGAGGCACUACGGUGCUGAAGUGACAAAUGCCCUGCUUCCAGGAAAAGCCUCUAAGCAUCAGGUAACACGAAAUCGUACCCCAAACCGACACAGGUGGUCAGGUAGAGAAUACCAAGGCGCUUGAGAGAACUCGGGUGAAGGAACUAGGCAAAAUGGUGCCGUAACUUCGGGAGAAGGCACGCUGAUACGUAGGUGAAGUGAUUUACUCAUGGAGCUGAAAUCAGUCGAAGAUACCAGCUGGCUGCAACUGUUUUAUUAAAACACAGCACUGUGCAAACACGAAAGUGGACGUAUACGGUGUGACGCCUGCCCGGUGCCGGAAGGUUAAUUGAUGGGGUUAUCCGUAAGGAGAAGCUCUUGAUCGAAGCCCCGGUAAACGGCGGCCGUAACUAUAACGGUCCUAAGGUAGCGAAAUUCCUUGUCGGGUAAGUUCCGACCUGCACGAAUGGCGUAAUGAUGGCCAGGCUGUCUCCACCCGAGACUCAGUGAAAUUGAACUCGCUGUGAAGAUGCAGUGUACCCGCGGCAAGACGGAAAGACCCCGUGAACCUUUACUAUAGCUUGACACUGAACACUGGUCCUUGAUGUGUAGGAUAGGUGGGAGGCUUUGAAGCGUGGACGCCAGUCUGCGUGGAGCCAUCCUUGAAAUACCACCCUUUAAUGGCUGGUGUUCUAACGUGGGCCCGUAAUCCGGGUUGCGGACAGUGUCUGGUGGGUAGUUUGACUGGGGCGGUCUCCUCCUAAAGAGUAACGGAGGAGCACGAAGGUCAGCUAAUCCUGGUCGGACAUCAGGAGGUUAGUGCAAUGGCAUAAGCUGGCUUGACUGCGAGCGUGACGGCGCGAGCAGGUGCGAAAGCAGGUCAUAGUGAUCCGGUGGUUCUGAAUGGAGGGCCAUCGCUCAACGGAUAAAAGGUACUCCGGGGAUAACAGGCUGAUACCGCCCAAGAGUUCAUAUCGACGGCGGUGUUUGGCACCUCGAUGUCGGCUCAUCACAUCCUGGGGCUGAAGUAGGUCCCAAGGGUAUGGCUGUUCGCCAUUUAAAGUGGUACGCGAGCUGGGUUUAGAACGUCGUGAGACAGUUCGGUCCCUAUCUGCCGUGGGCGCUGGAGAAUUGAGGGGGGCUGCUCCUAGUACGAGAGGACCGGAGUGGACGCAUCACUGGUGUUCGGGUUGUCAUGCCAAUGGCAUUGCCCGGUAGCUAAAUGCGGAAGAGAUAAGUGCUGAAAGCAUCUAAGUACGAAACUUGCCCCGAGAUGAGUUCUCCCUGACUCCUUGAGAGUCCUGAAGGAACGUUGAAGACGACGACGUUGAUAGGCCGGGUGUGUAAGCGCAGCGAUGCGUUGAGCUAACCGGUACUAAUGAACCGUGAGGCUUAACCUU